GUAACACGUAGUCAACCUACCCUAGGGACGGGGAUAACCUCGGGAAACUGAGGCUAAACCCCGAUAGGCUAUAGCCUCUGGAAUGAGCUAUAGCUGAAAUCUAUAUGGCCCUAGGAUGGGACUGCGGCCGAUCAGGUAGUUGGUGGGGUAAUGGCCCACCAAGCCUAUAACCGGUGCGGGCUCUGAGAGGAGGAGCCCGGAGAUGGGCACUGAGACAAGGGCCCAGGUCCUAUGGGGCGCAGCAGGCGCGAAACCUCCGCAAUGGGCGAAAGCCCGACGGGGUCAGUCCGAGUGGUUCCCGCUGAGGGAACCUUUUGCCAGCUGUAAACAGGCUGGCGAAUAAGGGGUGGGCAAGUUUGGUGUCAGCCGCCGCGGUAAUACCAGCACCCCGAGUGGUCGGGACGAUUAUUGGGCCUAAAGCAUCCGUAGCCGGCCCAGUAAGUCCUCCGUUAAAUCCAACGGCUCAACCGUUGGGCUGCGGGGGAUACUGCUGGGCUAGGGGACGGGAGAGGCGAGGGGUAUUCCCGGGGUAGGGGUAAAAU
rnacentral:rRNA from 1 species